ACGGAGGGAGCUAGCGUUGUUCGGAAUUACUGGGCGUAAAGCGCACGUAGGCGGCCAUUCAAGUCAGAGGUGAAAGCCCAGGGCUCAACCCUGGAACUGCCUUUGAAACUAGAUGGCUAGAAUCCUGGAGAGGCGAGUGGAAUUCCGAGUGUAGAGGUGAAAUUCGUAGAUAUUCGGAAGAACACCAGUGGCGAAGGCGACUUGCUGGAUCUUUGCUGACGCUGAGACGCGAAAGCGUGGGGAGCAAACAGGA
rnacentral:rRNA from 1 species